CCUACGGGAGGCAGCAGUGAGGAAUAUUGGUCAAUGGGCUUACGUCUGAACCAGCAAAGUCGCGUGAGGGAAGAAUGCCCUAUGGGUUGUAAACCCUUUUUGUCAGGGAGCAACGCCGGCUAAGUGUAGCAGGACUGAGAGGACCUGAAGAAAAAGCGUCGGCAAAGUCGGUGCCAGCAGACGCGGCAAUACGGAGGAUGCGAGCGUUAUCCGGAUUUAUUGGGUUUUAAGGGAGAGUAGGCGGCAUGCCAAGUCAGGGGUAAAAUCGCGGGGCUAAACCUCGUUCCGCCGUUGAAACUGGCGAUCUUGAGUGCAGGAGAGGCAGACGGAAUUCCUAGUGUAGCGGUGAAAUGCGUAGAUAUUAGGAGGAACACCAGUGGCGAAGGCGGUCUGCUGGACAGUAACUGACGCUGAGGCGCGAAAGCGUGGGGAGCAAACAGGAUUAGAUACCCCUGUAGUC
rnacentral:rRNA from 1 species